rnacentral:lncRNA from 1 species
CGUUUUCUUUUAUUGAAAUAUGGUAAAUAUAUUAUGUGUCAUACACGUUGUUUGACCCCUUUGUACCCUUUUCCCAAAAUGUGUAAUUUUUUUUUUAAGUAAAAAACUAAAAAAAUGUCCAUUUUUUAAAAAACAAUAUUAAAAUAAAAAAAAACGUAUCAAUGAAUGAAUGAUAUUUCUGCCUAAUUCAAUUCAUAAUGUUUGUUAUUCAAUCAAAUCUUUGGAUAGAUACCCACAUUCCUAAACCAUGAAAUUUGAGAUCCUCUCUCUAACACCUUCUUCAAGAUUUCAACUUUUUCUCUGUCUCUAAAUCUCUUUCAUUGUCUUUAUUUGAUCUUCUGAAGCUAUUACUCUGAAAAAAUGGCUGUGGCUAUGACUGCUUGGAGUCAUGGAAGUAACACAUGUCACAAUAUAAUUGGAACAACUAUGCAAUGACUGAUUUAACCCAAAAUUCAUCCCGGUCAUUUACACAACCUCAAAUUUUAUUCUAUUACUUUAUUAUAUUUUUUAUAUAUAUAUACUAAUUAAAUUAUGUAUUAUUUUUAAUUCAUUCAUUUUACGAAAUAUCUAGAAUUCUUGAUUUUUUUUAAAUUAGAUUUUUUUGAAAUUAAACGAAAUUACUAGAUGCUUCUCAGAAAUCUGCAAAUCUCCACCGAACAUGUCACUGUGUAACUUUAUACGACGUUUGUCCAAACUCCAAAUGGACAAGGACAACAAAACAUCCACAACAAAUAAAAACCAAUCCGUGAAACAUGUUACCUUAUUAACAGGUAAUAAUACAUUCAUAUAAAUUAUGUUUAAAAGUGUUUAUAAAAAAUGUGUCAUACACGUUUUCUUUUAUUGAAAUAUGGUAAAUAUAUUAUGUGUCAUACACGUUGUUUGACCCCUUUGUACCCUUUUCCCAAAAUGUGUAAUUUUUUUUUUAAGUAAAAAACUAAAAAAAUGUCCAUUUUUUAAAAAACAAUAUUAAAAUAAAAAAAAACGUAUCAAUGAAUGAAUGAUAUUUCUGCCUAAUUCAAUUCAUAAUGUUUGUUAUUCAAUCAAAUCUUUGGAUAGAUACCCACAUUCCUAAACCAUGAAAUUUGAGAUCCUCUCUCUAACACCUUCUUCAAGAUUUCAACUUUUUCUCUGUCUCUAAAUCUCUUUCAUUGUCUUUAUUUGAUCUUCUGAAGCUAUUACUCUGAAAAAAUGGCUGUGGCUAUGACUGCUUGGAGUCAUGGACCUCACCUCAGUGCUUCUGAUAAUGGCUUGAAAGCUUUGGAAAAAACCCUGUGCUGUGCCCCUAUCUUGAAGGCCUCUUCUAGGUUUGCUGCUGCUGCUAAGCCAUGCCACCUCAUUCACAAAGGAAGGUAGUCCUGGAAUUGUUGGUUUAAUAAAACCUGUGAUUCUUAGUGUUCAAUUUGUGUUCAUUUUAUGUUUCUGAUUCAUUUGCUGUUUUAACUUGUAAUGCUCCAUUUUAAAAUUUACUUGAUUCCAUUAAUACUCCCUAAAACUUGUGAUUUAAACAAAAAAAAUUGAUCUAGUAGAAGUCAUUCACUGAUAUUUGAUUCUUCCUUUGCUUGGAUGUGUAAUUUAUCCUGGCAAGUAAAGUGCCCUGCCAGGUUUGCAUGUAGAACACCCUGUAUGUAUGGUGUGGCUAAUUAAGGUAGUGAGCUGAAUAAUUCACUGAUAUAAAGCUAUGGUAUCCCCAAACAUUUUUUGCGUCUUUGAGCCUGUUUGGAUACGGACUAAAGAGUACUUAUUGAAAUUUAUCUACUACAAAAAGCAUUGGAUAAUCUCCAAAUAGUGCUCUUUGAUCCGCAUCCAAACGGGUUCUUUGUCUUCUUCUUUUUCCCUUUUUCGAAGACUGUUAAACAUUUAAAACUUGCAAUUGCAAAUUGAGAGUAAGGUUCAGCUAGGAUUGCACCAGAAUGAUGAAUGAUGUGUCCAUUCUCUGUGUUAAUUGUAUGUAC